rnacentral:tRNA from 8 species
GCGCGAGUGGCGGAAUUGGUAGACGCGCUGGCUUCAGGUGCCAGUGUCUUCACGGACGUGGGGGUUCAAGUCCCCCCUCGCGCA